AAAUAAGAAACAUUGAAAAUGAGGUCCAGUGUUUUUUGAAAACAUAUCAAAUCUGUUUUGGAUAUCCAAAUAAAUGCAGCAGAAGUCACUGAUUGAUUUACGCAACUCUGGAAACUUGCAGAGUGAAGAACACAUACGUUAAUUAUUAUAUUUUCUCAUGGCAAACCUCCGCUGGGAACAGGAAUUUAAAACCUCACUGCCCCAGGAAUACAGACCCAAAUUCCAGGAACUGGGACCCAUAUUCCAGGACCCCAAGAAAUGACAUCAGCCUGAAGAGCCGAGUGUAACAACAGUCCUGCGUGAGUUCAGCUACCUUCAGAAGAUUAUUAUCGACCCACGUCUUACCUUCACCAUACACUGAUGCCUCAUUCUGUAGGAGACGGCUCUAGCAAGUAGUGCUUUCCGAGUAUGGAUUUCCAGAAGAGUUUCCUCAAGCAAGCAGAACUUAGUUCUCUAGCUGACACCCUAGCCUGGUGAUCCUCCCUGGAGGCACAGCCGCCGAAACUCAAGAACAACACUAACCUUCCGUAGGGGGACUUCCGUUAAGAACAGCCUGUCAAACAACCAACAGGAAGUUGGGUAACCGUGGCUGCUCUUUAAUUUUUGAGUUUUGUGCAUCUCUGUGUGAGUGGCGGAUGGCAAUAAGACGGGUGGCGCCUAAGAAACUAUGCCUUUUAUCUUCAAGUUGAGGAAAUUAUCACUUUACUGACGUCAUUCUGCAUCUAGCAACCUUUCUGAAGUGAGUUAGGACUUUAAUUGCAAGGGUCACCGGUGUUCUGCAGGAGGACUUCACCAGUCUUGCCCGUAAAUGACAGAGCACUGGUAUGUAAAGCAUUUGGUUUUUCACAAAUGCUUUUACUUGGGUUGGAAGCCGUGAUCUAUGUUUCAGGUCACAGGCAAGAACACGCUUUCCCCUAUCUGUUUCCAAGCGAUCAAUCAUUUAUUUCCCAGGGGAAUUGUAGUUCUUGGGCAUGUGGCCUGUUUUCCAUUGGCUUCUAUUAUCAUUUGCUAAUUAGAUUACAACCUAGUAUUUACCUUACUCUGUGGUUUCGAGACCUUUCCCUGCAGUGUUUUUCUGUUAGCUUUACAAAUGCUGCAAAUCAUGCUUUCUCUCGGCUUAUUGUGUGAAACCAAGAAGAGUGGGGAACUUUACAGUCGCAUCUUUUUUUUUUUUUUUUUUUUUAAGUUGGGGAAAGAGGUAAAAAUGUUAAAAUUAAUCUUACUUUAUGUUUAGACAUGACUCAACUUUAAAGAUAUGCAGUGAGGGCAUUCCAGAGAUUUUGUCAUCCAGGGAAUACUUCAGGUUUAAAACAUAACUGUUAGCUUAAAUUGACAGCCUGCUUAAGCUUAAUAAAAACUUCUUCUUUAACAUGGAAUAGUA